GUAAACACUGAUUACGUUUUACCCACUGACCAUCCUAACAGCACUAGCAGUGCCUCAAUCUCUGAUGACAUCAAGGAACGAGCAUUGUGAUCAUGACUAAUCUGAAACCAAAGGACUGGUAUUUACUGGUGCCAUGUAGGAUUGGGGAUGUAUGUAAAUCGGGACAUCAUUACAACCUAAUUGUCACUCCAGGACCUGAGCCCUAGGACCAUGCAUCAGGACUACCUGGCUUGAUGACUCCUUGCUGUCCCCAGUUCACCUGUCCGUGCUGCUGCUCCAGUUCCACCUGUUCUGCCUGCAGCUAUGGAACCCUGACCUGUUCACCGGACGUGCUACCUGUCCCAGACCUGUUGUCCCAGACCUGCUGGAACCCUGACCUAUUCACCGGACGUGCUACCUGUCCCAGACCUGCUGUUUUCAACUCUCGAGAGACAGCAGGAGCGAGGAACUCUGGAUCUCUGUCAGUGUCCAUCUGGUUCUUAGUCACCUCCCUGACCAAGGCCCUUCUCCCCCGAUUGCUCAUUUUGGUCAGGUGGCCAGCUCUAGGAAGAGUCUUGGUGGUUCCAAACUUCUUCUAUUAAAUUAAUUAUGGAGGCCACUGUGUUCUUGGGGACAUUCAAUGCUGCAUAAUUUAUUUGGUACCCUUCACCAGAUCUGUGCCUUGACACAAUCCUGUCUCGGAACUCUACAGACAAUUCCUUCGACCUCAUUGCUUGGAUUUUUCUAUGACAUGCACAGUCAACUGUGGGACCUUAUAUAGACAGGUGUGUGCCUUUCCAAAUCAUGUCCAAUCAAUUGAAUUUACCACUGGUGGACUCCAAUCAAGUUUUAGAAACAUCUCAAGGAUGACUAAUGGAAACAGGAUGCACCUGAGCUCAAUUUCAACUCUCAAAGCAAAGGGUCUGAAUAUUUAUGUAAAUAAGGUAUUUCUGUUUUUUAUUUUUAAUACAUUUGCAAAAACAAAAUGUUUUUUUCGCUUUGUCUUUAUGAGGUAUUGUCUGUAGUUUGCCGAGGAUAAAAAAAUAAAAUAAUUGUGAAGAUGGCUGUAACGUAAAAAUGUUGAAAAAGGGAAGGGGUCUGAACACUUUCCGAAUGAACUGUAUAUGCACCAUGCCACUGCCUACUUCAUUUGUUAAUUUAGCAAACAAGACAACAUAUUAAUCCAGUGCCCUUAUCACAGUCAACACACCUAUAUUUUUUAUUUAAUUAGCUUUAAAAAUGCAAAAUGUUCUCUCAGCCUCAUGGCAAAAUGUGUAGAAUAGCAUGUGACGAGCUUUAAAACAGCAACAUUUUCUCUAAGCCUCAUGGCAAAAUGUGUAAUAUAGCAUGAGAUCAGCUAUAUAACUGAACAUUAUUUGGGGGGACACCCAAAUUUCUGCAGGCCCACCCAUCAACAAAUGUUUAGCUACGCCACUGGACUGCACUGGGCCUUUAAACUGCCAUAUGCUUUUAUCACUAGUUAUUAUUGUAUUUUAAUAGACUGUAUUCAUUUACCAGUGUUUUAUUGUUUUUAAUGAGGUCUACUAAUUUCCAGUGGUGUAAAGUACUUAAGUUAAAAUACUUUAAAGUACUACUUAAGUAGUUUUUUGGGGUAUCUGUACUAGAGGUCGACCUCUAAUCUGUACUUUACUUUACUAUUUAUAUUUUUGACAACUUUUAUUUUUACUUCACUACAUUCCUAAAGAAAAUUGUAUCCUUUUUACUGCCUGACACCCAAAAGUACUAGUUACAAUUGGAAUGCUUAGCAGGACAGGAAAAAGGUCCAAUUCACACACUUAUCAAGAGAACGUCCCUGGUCAUCCCUACUCUCGGAUCUGGUGGACUCACUAAACACAAAUGCUUCCUUUGUAAAUCAUGUCUGAGUGUUGGAGUGUGCCCUUGGCUGUCAAAAAAAGUUAUACAAAAUGAAAUUUUGCUGUCUGGUUUGAUAAAUAUAAGGAAUUUGAUGUAUAGCAUUUACUUUUACUUUGUACUUUUACUCAAGUAUGAAAACUGAGUACUUUUUACACCACUGUAAAUCGGAUACUUUUAGAAUUUUACUCAGGUAGUAUUUUACUGGGUUACUUUCACUUUUACUUGAGUCGUUUUAUAUUAAGGUAUCUUUACUUUUACUCAAGUAUGACAUUUGAGUACUUUUCCCACCUCUGACUAAUUGCUAUACUGACUUGUGAAAUACAGUUGACGUCAACGCUGAUAACACUUUAUGACAGUAUUUUAAAAAAUCCUCUCCUUGUUUAAUCAGAGCCUUGCUGUAUCUGUUUAUAUUUUC
rnacentral:lncRNA from 1 species